rnacentral:rRNA from 1 species
UGGGGAAUUUUGGACAAUGGGCGCAAGCCUGAUCCAGCCAUUCCGCGUGCAGGAUGAAGGCCCUCGGGUUGUAAACUGCUUUUGUACGGAACGAAAAGGCUCUGGUUAAUACCUGGGGCUCAUGACGGUACCGUAAGAAUAAGCACCGGCUAACUACGUG